rnacentral:rRNA from 1 species
AGAGUUUGAUCCUGGCUCAGAACGAACGCUGGCGGCGUGGAUAAGACAUGCAAGUCGAACGCUGAUUUCAGGGUAGCAAUAUUCUGGAGUCGGAGUGGCGCAAGGGUGCGUAACACGUGAGUAAUUUGCCAUGAAGCCCGGAAUAACUCGCUGAAAGGCGAGCUAAUACCGGAUGUGAUUUUCGGGGAGCAUUUCCUGAAACUUAAAGCUGGGGACCGUAAGGCCUGGCACUUCUUGAUAAGCUCGCGGCCUAUCAGCUAGUUGGUGAGGUAACGGCUCACCAAGGCUAAGACGGGUAGCUGGUCUGAGAGGACGACCAGCCACACUGGAACUGAGACACGGUCCAGACACCUACGGGUGGCAGCAGUCGAGAAUUUUUCACAAUGGGCGAAAGCCUGAUGGAGCGACGCCGCGUGGGGGAUGAAUGGCUUCGGCCCGUAAACCCCUGUCAUUUGCGAACAAACCUUGUCAUUUAAAAGAUGACGAGCUGAUUGUAGCGAAAGAGGAAGGGACGGCUAACUCUGUGCCAGCAGCCGCGGUAAUACAGAGGUCCCAAGCGUUGUUCGGAUUCACUGGGCGUAAAGGGUGCGUAGGUGGUCGGGUAAGUCUGAUGUGAAAUCUCCGAGCCUAACUCGGAAACUGCAUCGGAUACUAUUCGGCUUGAGGGUUGGAGGGGGGACUGGAAUACUUGGUGUAGCAGUGAAAUGCGUAGAUAUCAAGUGGAACACCAGUGGCGAAGGCGAGUCCCUGGACAACUCCUGACACUGAGGCACGAAAGCUAGGGGAGCAAACAGGAUUAGAUACCCUGGUAGUCC